UCUGCAUUUCCUGGCUGGGCCUCAAACCUGACUUGUUAUUUUGCUUUUACCUGACAAUCUCUGGGCUUUUGACAGGAGGUCACCAGGUCUGUGGUGUCCUGGUUUGUGCACCUCCAUCCCUUCGCAGCUCUCUUGGGGAGUAGUCCAGCUCACACUGGUUUCUCACUCAGAAAAUUAGAGAUAGUGACCUAUCCUGCGAUUACUAUGACUGGCAGUCAUGUCACUGUGACUCUGCUGUGAAAUGACAAGGUGCAUUCUAAAGCUGAAAACCAGAAGAAAGAUAAAACAGGACAUCCAGAAGGGCAUGGGAACUAGCUGAGAUAGUGCAUACUGUUAUAUUUGAACUUUACAUUUGGCUCCAGUUUCUUUUUCUCUGAACUACAAUGUUCAGCUGAAAUGUUCUUUGGCACCAAAGCAGUCUUAUUUUUUCAUUGUUUGUGUGAUGCCUAGCACAGUGGGGUGUUGGCUUGUGACACUGGCUGUCAGGCAGCCCACAACACAAUAAAAACAAUAAAGCUAAUUUAGCAUUG